GCCCUGUUAGUGUAACGGUAAUCACAUCCGUUCCAUAUAACGCUUCCGAUGCAGGUUGCCGACGGAGAAUGCAGGUUCAACUCCUGCACAGGGCU